UCAGUGGGGCUACGAACUGAGUGCAUCACGUCACUCCCUAGUCCCUUGGGAAGGUCUGAGAUUAGGGCCAGAAGCGGCCCUAACAGGGCUCGCCCUGAGUCUUGGGGAGGUGAAUUCCCAGAGAACAGGGCUCUGUGCGAGGGCAGACUGAGCAGGAGAUGCCGCGGCCCCUCUCCCCGCAGGGACCCUGCGGAUGCCUCCUUAGCCGAAGCUUGGAACAGACUCACGGCCAGCAAAGUGAGCAAAUGAAUUUUGA
rnacentral:sRNA from 1 species